GUGCAAGAACGUAAGCGAGUUGUCAAGUGCCGCACGUGCGCUUAGUUGAAGACUAAGGACGUGACUCUAUUCUUGAUUUUACGUUGUAUUGCUCAAGUUCAGAGUAUCUCAACUUUGUGGUGGGUUCUCUCUUCUUCACUUUUUCAAAGUGCCAUCUAUCUAUUUUGUUUUGGGGAUAAGCAAGGCGUAGUAACAUGUACCUAGAGCAAAAACAUUACAACUUCAGAUAGGUUUAUGGACAGUUAGAUGGGAUUGAAGUGCUUCUUCGGAGAUUUUACUGUGAUAGACGAUCUGCAAUUUACAUCCUGGUGGUGUUAAAGUGUCUUCAGUGAUCAGAAUUGUUUUUGAUAUGGCGUUUUCCUCGGGCCCUACAACAGAGCUCUCAUCAGGAAUCUAAGAGGUUUUUGGAAGUGAAAGUUGUUUGAGAUGGGAAGAACAGUGCAUUGCCUCGACUGUAAGAGAGAAUUAUUUGAAAGGAGAUAGAAGAAAUUUAAAUCGUAACCAGAUUAUUGCUGCAUCAAGUGAUCGAGUCAAAAGGAAAAUACAAGCUUCGUGUAAUAUUCCUCCUUUUUAUCUUUCAGGUUCUAAUACCUUUCUCAAGGAGUCUAUCUCAUGGAAGAUGAGAUUAUUUGCUUCCCUUGAUGGCUGGUCAAGUAACAAUAAUGUUCUGAAGAUGCCCGAUAAUUGGCUACUCUUUGGUCUAGAACCUUUCUAGUAGUGUUACCAUAAAUUUACUCUCUUUAAGAAGAGAUGUGAAAACUGCUUUUGGUGGAAACACACUUAAUUGAUGGAAAUAUUGAUUUUUUUACU